UGGUACAUAUAUGAAUGUGUAUCUUCAGCAGAAAGUGAAAUGAAUGUGAAAUGAACUGAAUGAAUAAAGGAACUGAAAGAAUAAAAGGAUUUAAUUCAUUCCCUUUUUCUGAGUACAUCAUUUACUACAUUAUAUAUUAACAUUAUUUUGAAUACUUUCAGGAUGGACUGACUGGACUUUAAAAUUGAUUAUAGAUGAAAGACUUCUUGUUCAAUUACAUACAUGUCAUUCAAUGUUUUCAGUGUACAAAAUUACAGCUCCGGGAAAAAAUGAAGGGACCACUCCAAAUGUUCAGUGCCUCUCGUUUUAAUAUUUAUAUAUUAUAUUUAUAGGUACAUGUUUGAGUAGAAACACUAUUCAACAGGGAUGUAGCCUUUUAAAUCAAGUGGUCCCUGGAAGUUGGUCAUCACACAGCAGACGGUCCACAGCUGAUUGACUGUCGCAGACAAGGUGAAAGGACAGUGCGUUCCCAGAUGCGGUAUUCCUUGACUCUGCCUAUUGCUCUUUCUACGAGGAUUCGAAGUCGAGCGAUUGCUUGUGUUUUCAGAGCAUCCUCUUCAGUGAACUGCGCAGUGGUUAGAGAUAAAUUAAUUAGUAAUAUAAUUGUGAGUGCUUCAGUCCAUCUUAAACAUUUGUCUACAUAUCUUAAUGGUCACAUUUGGGUCAAAGUUUUAAUUUGAAAUGUUCAUUCCUUUCAUGCCUACCUGUCAUCUUGAAGGGUGGUAUAAUCAGCGUUGCCCCACGAUCAGCUAGUGGCUUCUCGAUGGUGAAACCCUUGUCUGCCAUGCAGCCAUCUCCUGGCUCCAGUAAAUCCAGCAGUCCACUUCGUUCAGUCAGCUCUGGGUCGGAGAUGGAGCCGGUGAAGAGAC